CUACGGGGGGCAGCAGUGAGGAAUAUUGCACAAUGGGGGGAACCCUGAUGCAGCAACGCCGCGUGGAGGAUGACGCAUUUCGGUGUGUAAACUCCUUUUAUAUGUCAAGAAAAUGACGGUAGCAUAUGAAUAAGCACCGGCUAACUCCGUGCCAGCAGCCGCGGUAAUACGGAGGGUGCAAGCGUUAUUCGGAAUCACUGGGCGUAAGGGACGCGUAGGCGGGUUGUCAAGUCAGGUGUGAAAUCCUACAGCUUAACUGUAGAACUGCACUUGAAACUGGCAACCUAGAGUAUGGGAGGGGGAGAUGGAAUUAGUGGUGUAGGGGUAAAAUCCGUAGAUAUCACUAGGAAUACCGAAAGCGAAGGCGAUCUCCUGGAACAUUACUGACGCUAAGGCGUGAAAGCGUGGGGAGCAAACAGGAUUAGAUACCCGAGUAGUC
rnacentral:rRNA from 1 species